rnacentral:lncRNA from 1 species
AUGACAGAGGCCCUCAGCCAGGAUGUUGGGGAGACCCUGCUUUCCCUCACAAGAACAGUCCCAUCCACUCUCCUUCCACUGAGACCUCUGCAGCCCGCAGAAUUGAAGAACCCUGCUCUUCCAGCAAAGCCCACAUCUGGCCCAUCGGAACCGCGCCCCUUUGAUCCGCCACUAGAGGGCGCACAGGCACUUCCCCAACACACUCUCCCUGGCUGGUGGUUUCAGCCACGUGAUCAGUUGCCUGCAGAUUAUUUUUCAAGCCGCAGCAGACACCCUCUGCCUGGAGAAAUUCCCGUGCUUCCCAUUUGGCAGAGGCACGUUCACAGCACAUCAGUCAUACUCUCCGGAGAAAUCUUGUCUCAUCUCCAAUUGCAAUUGCAAGAUGGGAUCUGGGUGAAGGCUAACAAAACUGGUUUUGAAUAUCUGGUCUGCUGGCUCUGGCUGGGUGGCCCAGCCCCUCACUCUGGGCAGGGGAAGUACUUAGCACCUAUCAUCUUGGGGUCUCUGUGGAAACAAAGAAGGAGCAUGAACUGUUCUCAUUCAUAGAAUCUUACCCGUGUUUUGUCGUUAGACUUGGGAAAGAGGGAAAGGACAACGGAGGGAGAGAAACAGGGAAAACAGAAGGGACUUUGCUUUCCUGAGUAGUUAUUAUGUGUCUGCUGCUAUGCCAUGCCCUUUGAAACAUUCCCAUCUGGGAUUUUAUUAUCCCAGAGUUUACAGCAGAGGCUCAUGGAGGUGUAGGAACUUGCACAAGAUAUGAUGGGGUCCCAGGUCCAGCUAACUCUAAAGGUCAUACUUUCUCUAUUGUAUCUACACUUCCUUUUAUUGCCAAAACUUGGCCUCUGUCCACCCGUGCCGAAUAGAAUUGUGGAGACAGAGUUUGUGGUGAAGGAGAAAAAAAAUAGCUUUUAUUGCUUUGCCAGGCAAAGGAGGCCACAGCAAGCUGAUGUCCUAAAGACCCUGCCCCUCCUUGGGGGGAGAAUUGCAGGGAGUUUAUAGUCUAAAAGGAGACAAACAGGGUUUCAGAUAAGAAUCGGGAUUGGGGCAGACAUGCACUCUUCUUUCUUUGGGGGAAUCUUAGUCAUUGAAGCUGGCGUCACGAUGUCUUGGCAUGAUCCUGGUGGUGGUCUUCUGGGUUAUUGCUUAGAAUAACAGUACUUGCAAAAAGGGCGUAUUAAUCAGUGAUUAAUCAAACUAGAAAAUUUUCUGAAAAACAUCAUAUGCUCAGAGUUCCCGUUGUGGCUCAGUGGUUCACGAAUCCGACUAGGAACCAUGAGGUUGGGGGUUCGAUCCUUGGCCUUGCUCAGUGGGUUAAGGAUCCGGUGUGGCCGUGAGCUGUGGUGUAGGUCACAGACACAGCCUGGAU